UCAAGUGCCUGACAGCUUCAUCAUCUACAAUUCUUGCCUCCACCAACAGAUGGCGGUGAAGGUACCGACAAAAAGGAACUAAAAUCCUGCUCAGGAUCUUGUACGUUUUGAACGACGUACACGACAUAACCGGAAGUUUAAUAUUUUAUGGAGGGCUAAUAUUAUAGGUGUUCAGAGAAUGUUUCUGGUCUUCAUCAAAACAAAUCAUAACCAUAAAUAUUCCUCUCGCUUGCCUUUUUGCUUUAAACUUCCACAGAAAAGAAGACUCAACCGUACGAAGAAGAUAAAGAAGGGUCACAGGGAAACCUGGAGCCUAUCCCAGGGAGCAUGGAGCACAAGGCAGGGUACACCCUGGACAAUCACAUACACAUUCACACACCCAUUCAUACACUACAGACACUUUGGACAUGCCAAUCAGCCUACCAUGCAUGUCUUUGGACUGGGUGAGGAAACCCGAGUAUCCGGAGGAAACCCCGCAGCAUGGGGAGAACAUGCAAACUCCACACACACAGGUGGGAAUCAAACCCCAAAUCUGGAGGUGUGAGGCAAACGUGCUAACCACUAAGCCACCGUGCGCUGUGUUUAUGUUAAUGUGUUUAAAUAAUUGUUUAAGACGUUGUAGUUAAAACAUAGAAGGCACUCUACAACUAUCUGUUAUAAUGGCUGCUCCGAGAACUCCUAAUACCCCUAGAAGACUGAUGUGUAUUUCACCAACAAGAGGACCUGUCGAAAUGAGAGAGGACCUGACUUUUGCUCCGAGAAAAAAAAACAGAUAUUAGUUUGACAAAGUUUCUUCAUGAAGAUGAAGUUAUUGUAAAGACAUUGUUGUUUUUUAACCCUGAGCAGGUCGUUACCAACUUUGAAGUCAGCCCUCAUAUUACAGGGAUUAAAAACGACUACAGAUCGGUACAUUUGCCACACACAUUUACAAUGUCUCAAGAAUCCAUGUCUGCCUACUGCUAAAGCAGCACUCCAGAGACAGUGUUGAUGUACCUGCUGCUGUAAAUGGAUGCAUUGUUGAUCCAAAAAUGUUUAACAAAACUCAAGAAUCAAAUGUCUGUUGUGAGAGCCACAAAUGAAUGGACAGACUUGAUGCAUAUGUGCAUUAAUGUGGGGAAACCAAUUUGUGUUUGUGAAAUUAUUGAAACACUGGUUGAUUACAUUCUUGAGAAAAACGCUGUGAUGUUUAUUAAAUUUCUACAGUCCCUUGAUUAUUUUCUUUUACAGAAAUAAAUACCAAAACGUUUAAACCA